AGGCGCGUAGCUCAGCUGGUUAGAGCACCACCUUGACAUGGUGGGGGUCGUUGGUUCGAGUCCAAUUGCGCCUACCA
rnacentral:tRNA from 1 species